rnacentral:lncRNA from 1 species
CCCCGCUCACAGCACCCGGCACACCCCGCUCACAGCUCCCUCCAGCCCCCCAAACCCACGGACACCCUCCCGAACCCCCUAAGCCACUGACACCCUUCCCAACCCCCCGAACCACCUGACACCUUUCCCAGCCCCCCAAACCCACUGACACCCUUCUCAGCUCACAUCACCUGCUCCCCUGCCUCAUCCUCCCCGUGGACCCUGCCCUGCCGGCCCUACCCCCCCAGACCUGUUACUGUCACCUCCCUCUGGCCUGGCCCCUGUCCCUGGCGUACCCGCGGGUGGGUGAGCUGCCAGCCCAGGCCGUGCCCAGAGCCCUGAGGGUGUGCUGGAGGCGGCUGGGAUCACGGGGAAGGCAGGAUGUUGUCCCUGGAGCCAAAUUCAGUGGCCUCAGGCUCUGUCCCUGAGUGUGUCACACCUCUGCCAGGCGCUAGUGUGCAGGGCAGGAUGUCAGGGGCAUCACAGCAUGGCCAGCCUGGCAUUGCAGCUCCCCACGCUCAGGGACACGUGUCCCCUGCCCGAGUGACAUUUCCUCGGUGCUGCCAAUAAACUGCUGCUGCCACUGAACUUCGCAAAGUGCCCGGGGGCGCUCCCGGGAAGCGAGCCCCGCCCUGGGAUGGGCUACACGGAGUUGGUGCCAUCGGAGUGCUCGGGGCAGGUGCGACCCGAGGAUCCCCAUGGCUGAACUUGCCCAUCUGGACUUAAUUUCGGUUUUCCCUGUGUCCCCUCCCGGCCGCUGGAAGCUGGGACACCACAGAGCCUCUGUCUGUGUCCCCACUGCUCUGCUGGUCCCGGGGUCGCGGUGAUGUCCGUGCAGAGGAAGGACGAGGGCAGAGGCUGUUGCAGGGAUGGAGCGGGGAUGGUUUUUGGGGUGGGUGCUGAGCAAGAACCCGUUCAUCAGCGCCUGCCCCGCCCGUGUCUUGCAGAACAUCGUCUCCAAGCACAGCUCGCAGUUCCGGGGCAAUGCUCAGCACGACGCGCUCGAGUUCCUGCUCUGGCUGCUGGACCGAAUGCACGAGGACCUGGGCGCCGCCUCCCCCGCCCAACAGAGCCACGGCCCCACGCAGCCUGGCAAGGAUGGAAGCAGCGGUGCCAGCAGGUCCUCCCCAGGCACCCAGCACGCCCGUGGGCAGAGCUUCGUGCAGAGCCACUUCCAGGCCCAGUACAGGUCCUCCCUGACGUGCCCUCACUGUCUGAAGCAGAGCAACACGUUCGACCCCUUCCUGUGCAUCUCCCUGCCCAUCCCGCUGCGCCAGACCAGGGCUCUGAACGUCACGCUGGUGCUGCAGUGCGAGCGCUGGCGCUUCGUGCGGGUGGGCCUGGCCGUGCCGCU